CCUGGCUCAGGUUGAGCGCUAGCUACAGGCUUAACACAUGCAAGUCGAGGGGCUGCAUGGUCUUAGCUUGCUAAGGCCGAUGGCGACCGGCGCACGGGUGAGUAACACGUAUCCAACCUGCCGUCUACUCUUGGACAGCCUUCUGAAAGGAAGAUUAAUACAAGAUGGCAUCAUGAGUCCGCAUGUUCACAUGAUUAAAGGUAUUCCGGUAGACGAUGGGGAUGCGUUCCAUUAGAUAGUAGGCGGGGUAACGGCCCACCUAGUCUUCGAUGGAUAGGGGUUCUGAGAGGAAGGUCCCCCACAUUGGAACUGAGACACGGUCCAAACUCCUACGGGAGGCAGCAGUGAGGAAUAUUGGUCAAUGGGCGAGAGCCUGAACCAGCCAAGUAGCGUGAAGGAUGACUGCCCUAUGGGUUGUAAACUUCUUUUAUAAAGGAAUAAAGUCGGGUAUGCAUACCCGUUUGCAUGUACUUUAUGAAUAAGGAUCGGCUAACUCCGUGCCAGCAGCCGCGGUAAUACGGAGGAUCCGAGCGUUAUCCGGAUUUAUUGGGUUUAAAGGGAGCGUAGAUGGAUGUUUAAGUCAGUUGUGAAAGUUUGCGGCUCAACCGUAAAAUUGCAGUUGAUACUGGAUAUCUUGAGUGCAGUUGAGGCAGGCGGAAUUCGUGGUGUAGCGGUGAAAUGCUUAGAUAUCACGAAGAACUCCGAUUGCGAAGGCAGCCUGCUAAGCUGCAACUGACAUUGAGGCUCGAAAGUGUGGGUAUCAAACAGGAUUAGAUACCCUGGUAGUCCACACGGUAAACGAUGAAUACUCGCUGUUUGCGAUAUACAGCAAGCGGCCAAGCGAAAGCGUUAAGUAUUCCACCUGGGGAGUACGCCGGCAACGGUGAAACUCAAAGGAAUUGACGGGGGCCCGCACAAGCGGAGGAACAUGUGGUUUAAUUCGAUGAUACGCGAGGAACCUUACCCGGGCUUAAAUUGCAGAUGAAUUACGGUGAAAGCCGUAAGCCGCAAGGCAUCUGUGAAGGUGCUGCAUGGUUGUCGUCAGCUCGUGCCGUGAGGUGUCGGCUUAAGUGCCAUAACGAGCGCAACCCUUGUUGUCAGUUACUAACAGGUUCCGCUGAGGACUCUGACAAGACUGCCAUCGUAAGAUGUGAGGAAGGUGGGGAUGACGUCAAAUCAGCACGGCCCUUACGUCCGGGGCUACACACGUGUUACAAUGGGGGGUACAGAGGGCCGCUACCACGCGAGUGGAUGCCAAUCCCCAAAACCUCUCUCAGUUCGGACUGGAGUCUGCAACCCGACUCCACGAAGCUGGAUUCGCUAGUAAUCGCGCAUCAGCCACGGCGCGGUGAAUACGUUCCCGGGCCUUGUACACACCGCCC
rnacentral:rRNA from 1 species